GGAUAGCUCAGUUGGAUAGAGCGUCGGCCUCCGGAGCCGAAGGUCGUGAGUUCGAAUCUCAUUCC
rnacentral:tRNA from 1 species